GGAGAGGUGGCAGAGAGGUCGAAUGCGGCAGACUCGAAAUCUGUUGUACGGAUUUCUCCGUACCGUGGGUUCGAAUCCCACCCUCUCCGCCA
rnacentral:tRNA from 1 species